GCCCAGGUGGCGAAAUCGGUAGACGCAAGAGACUUAAAAUCUCUCGGCUUUAGGCUGUGCGGGUUCGAGUCCCGCCCUGGGCACCA
rnacentral:tRNA from 1 species